UGUGUAAGCGAAGCGAUAUGUGGAGCGGUGAAAGGCUCAGUAACGGGCGAUUUAUUUGAUCUCCUGGGACGGACAACAUCGGGAAACUGAUGGGAAAACGUCUAAGUUGCAGUAUAUUUAUUGUGACGUAAACCUUUGUGUGCAGGAGAGUAAGAUGCCAUCCUAUCAGUUAGUAAGUAGGGUAAGGGCCUACUUAGACGAAGACGGGUACGGGGAAUGAGGGUUUGAUUCCGGAGAGGGAGCCUGAGAGAUGGCUACCAGGACCAAGGUCAGCAGCAGGCGCGAAAAUUAUCGAAGCCCGCCUAGGGGCGAUAGUGAGGAGACGUGUAUACGAAGUACGUGUAAAGACCGUACUAAUAACUGGAGGUCAAGUCUGGUGCCAGCAGCCGCG
rnacentral:rRNA from 1 species